rnacentral:rRNA from 1 species
GACGAACGCUGGCGGCGUGCUUAACACAUGCAAGUCGAACGGAAAGGCCCUGCUUUUGUGGGGUGCUCGAGUGGCGAACGGGUGAGUAACACGUGAGUAACCUGCCCUUGACUUUGGGAUAACUUCAGGAAACUGGGGCUAAUACCGGAUAGGAGCUCCUGCUGCAUGGUGGGGGUUGGAAAGUUUCGGCGGUUGGGGAUGGACUCGCGGCUUAUCAGCUUGUUGGUGGGGUAGUGGCUUACCAAGGCUUUGACGGGUAGCCGGCCUGAGAGGGUGACCGGCCACAUUGGGACUGAGAUACGGCCCAGACUCCUACGGGAGGCAGCAGUGGGGAAUAUUGCACAAUGGGCGGAAGCCUGAUGCAGCAACGCCGCGUGCGGGAUGACGGCCUUCGGGUUGUAAACCGCUUUCGCCUGUGACGAAGCGUGAGUGACGGUAAUGGGUAAAGAAGCACCGGCUAACUACGUGCCAGCAGCCGCGGUGAUACGUAGGGUGCGAGCGUUGUCCGGAUUUAUUGGGCGUAAAGGGCUCGUAGGUGGUUGAUCGCGUCGGAAGUGUAAUCUUGGGGCUUAACCCUGAGCGUGCUUUCGAUACGGGUUGACUUGAGGAAGGUAGGGGAGAAUGGAAUUCCUGGUGGAGCGGUGGAAUGCGCAGAUAUCAGGAGGAACACCAGUGGCGAAGGCGGUUCUCUGGGCCUUUCCUGACGCUGAGGAGCGAAAGCGUGGGGAGCGAACAGGCUUAGAUACCCUGGUAGUCCACGCUGUAAACGGUGGGUACUAGGUGUGGGGUCCAUUCCACGGGUUCCGUGCCGUAGCUAACGCUUUAAGUACCCCGCCUGGGGAGUACGGCCGCAAGGCUAAAACUCAAAGGAAUUGACGGGGCCCCGCACAAGCGGCGGAGCAUGCGGAUUAAUUCGAUGCAACGCGUAGAACCUUACCUGGGUUUGACAUGGAUCGGGAGCGCUCAGAGAUGGGUGUGCCUCUUUUGGGGUCGGUUCACAGGUGGUGCAUGGCUGUCGUCAGCUCGUGUCGUGAGAUGUUGGGUUAAGUCCCGCAACGAGCGCAACCCUUGUUCACUGUUGCCAGCACGUUAUGGUGGGGACUCAGUGGAGACCGCCGGGGUCAACUCGGAGGAAGGUGGGGAUGACGUCGAGUCAUCAUGCCCCUUAUGUCCAGGGCUUCACGCAUGCUACAAUGGCUGGUACAGAGAGUGGCGAGCCUGUGAGGGUGAGCGAAUCUCGGAAAGCCGGUCUCAGUUCGGAUUGGGGUCUGCAACUCGACCUCAUGAAGUCGGAGUCGCUAGUAAUCGCAGAUCUGCAACGCUGCGGUGAAUACGUUCCCGGG